rnacentral:rRNA from 4 species
AGGGCGUACGGUGAAUGCCUUGGUGCCAACAGGCGAAGAAGGACGCGGCAAGCUGCGAAAAGCCUCGGGAAGCUGCAAGCAAGCGAUGAUCCGGGGAUAUCCGAAUGGGGUAACCUGAUCGAGGCAAUACUCGAUCGUUCAUACCUGAAUACAUAGGGUAUGAAACGCGAAACCCGCUGAAGUGAAACAUCUCAGUAAGCGGAGGAAAAGAAAGAGAAAUCGAUUCCGUAAGUAGUGGCGAGCGAAAGCGGAUGGAGCCCAAACCGAAGGUAUUCCUUCGGGGUUGUAGGACCACGUCAUAUUCGACCAUACUGGAUAGUAGAACAGCCUGGAAAGGCUGGCCGGAGAAGGUGAAAGCCCUGUAGACGAAAUCCAGAGUGGGAAUUAGUGGUAUCCUGAGUAAUACAUCACACGUGGAACGAUGUAUGAACCCGCGCGGACCACCGCGCAAGGCUAAAUACUAGUUGGCGACCGAUAGUGAACAAGUACCGCGAGGGAAAGGUGAAAAGAACCGCUGUGAGCGGAGUGAAAUAGAACCUGAAACCGUAUGUCUACAAAGUGUCAGAGCAGAGCAAUCUGCGAUGGCGUGCCUUUUGUUUAAUGAGUCUGCGAGUCAGUGUUUGUGGCAAGACUAAGGGCUUCCGGCCCGGAGUCGCAGCGAAAGCAAGUCCGAACAGGGCGCAAUAAGUCGCAGGUACUGGACCCGAAGCGGAGGUGACCUACCCUUGGCCAGGUUGAAGCAUGGGUAAAACCAUGUGGAGGACCGAACAGGUGAACGUUGAAAAGUUCUCUGAUGAGCUGAGGGUAGGAGUGAAAGGCUAAUCAAACCCCGUGAUAGCUGGUUCUCUUCGAAAUGCAUUUAGGUGCAGCGUCACGUGCUGAUGCGCGGGGGUAGAGCACUGACAAGGCUAGGGGGCACACCCGCUUACCAAACCUUAUCAAACUCCGAAUACCGUGCAAUGGAACGUGGCAGUGAGACAGUGGGGGAUAAGCUUCAUUGUCGAGAGGGAAACAACCCAGACCAGCAGCUAAGGUGCCUAAAUAACGCUCAGUGGAAAGGAUGUGGGAUUACACAGACAGUGAGGAUGUUGGCUUAGAAGCAGCCACCAUUUAAAAAAUGCGUAAUAGCUUACUCAUCGAGUGAUCCUGCGCCGAAAAUGAUUGGCGAUCAAGCGUUAUACCGAAGCUCUGGACUUUGCCGCAAGGCAGAGUGGUAGAAGAGCGUUGCAUGCGCGUCGAAGGGCGAUGGCGACUGACCCUGGAGCACAUGCAAGUGAGUAUGCAGACAUGAGUAACGUUAAGCCGGGUGAAAUCCCCGGCCGCCGUAAACCCGAGGUUUCCAGGGCAACGUGUUUCGUCCCUGGGUUAGCCGGGACCUAAGCCGAGGCCGAGAGGCGUAGGCGAUGGACAUCAGGUUAAUAAUCCUGAGCUCGCAACCCUUAAACUGGGGGGACGCAUGAGAAAAGAUGACUAGGUUAUUGAAUUCCGAGUUGAGUCUACGGACUCAGCGCAUCAUUGGAUCGAGUGCCAAGAAAAGCCCCAGCGUAUGCUAAGCGACCCGUACCGCAAACCGACACAGGUGGGUGGGUAGAAUAUACCAAGGCGUAAGAGUGAAACCUGGUUAAGGAACUCGGCAAAUUAGCCCCGUAACUUCGGAAGAAGGGGUGCCUGCAGCGAUGCAGGCCGCAGAGAAAUGGCCCAACCGACUGUUUAUCAAAAACACAGCACUCUGCAAAGACGCAAGUCGAAGUAUAGGGUGUGACACGUGACCAAUGCCGAAAGAUUAAGGCAAGGGGUUAGCCGCAAGGCGAAGCUCUAAACCCAAGUCCCGGUGAAUGUCGGCCGUAACUAUAACGGUCCUAAGGUAGCGAAAUUCCUUGUCGGGUAAGUUCCGACCUGCACGAAUCGUGAAACGAGUUGGGCACUGUCUCAACCAGGCGCUCAGUGAAAUUGUAGUGGCGGUGAAGAUGCCGCCUACCCGCAGAAGGACGGAAAGACCCUAUAGACCUUAACUGUAAGCUGUCAUUGUUUCUUCGGUUUUAAUGCUCAGAGUAAGUGGGAGACGCUGAAGACGCCCUUUAGGGGGCGUCCGAGUCAUCAAUGAGACACCACCCUUUGAAACUGGAGGAUCUAACCCUGAGCCGUGAAUCCGGCCAGAGGACCGUGUCAGCCGGUCAGUUUUACUGGGGCGGUAUCCUCCCAAAGAGUAACGGAGGAGCGCGAAGGUGGGCUCAGCCCGGUUGGCAACCGGGUGUCGAGUGCAUGGGCAUAAGCCCGCCUAACUGUGAGACCAACAAGUCGAGCAGAUGCGAAAGCAGGCCCAAGUGAUCCGGCGGUAGAAAGUGGAAUUGCCGUCGCUCAACGGAUAAAAGGUACCUUAGGGAUAACAGGCUGAUCACGCCCAAGAGUUCAUAUCGACGGCGUGGUUUGGCACCUCGAUGUCGGCUCGUCGCAUCCUGGGGCUGGAGAAGGUCCCAAGGGUCCGGCUGUUCGCCGGUUAAAGCGGCACGCGAGCUGGGUUCAGAACGUCGCGAGACAGUUCGGUCCUCUAUCCUCUGUGGGCGUUGGAAAAUUGAGGGGUUCAGACCUUAGUACGAGAGGACCGGGUCUGACGCACCACUGGUGCAUCGGUUGUACUGUCAAGUGCAUGGCCGAGUAGCUAAGUGCGGACGGGAUAAGCGCUGAAAGCAUCUAAGCGCCAAGCCCUUCCCAAGAUGAGUUUUCCCUACAGGUUCGUGGAAGACCACCACGUUGAUAGGUCGCAGGUGUAAGUGCAGCAAUGUAUUGAGCCGAGCGAUACUAAUUACCAAUUGACUUCAUC